rnacentral:rRNA from 1 species
GUAGGGGUCUAGCGUUGUCCGGAAUUAUUGGGCGUAAAGAGCUCGUAGGCGGUUCGGCAAGUCGGAUGUGAAAUCUCCACGCUUAACGUGGAGGGGCCAUUCGAAACUGCCGUGACUCGAGUCCGGUAGGGGAGUGCGGAAUUCCCGGUGUAGCGGUGAAAUGCGCAGAUAUCGGGAGGAACACCAGUGGCGAAGGCGGCACUCUGGGCCGGAACUGACGCUGAGGAGCGAAAGCGUGGGGAGCGAACAGGAUUAGAUACCCUGGUAGUCCACGCCGUAAACGUUGGGCACUAGGUGUGGGGCUCUAUCGACGGGUUCCGUGCCGUAGCUAACGCAUUAAGUGCCCCGCCUGGGGAGUACGGCCGCAAGGCUA